CUUACCGAAAGCAUGUUCAAUGAGUUACUCAGAUUCAUGGCCCAGGAAUUGAAUCUACACGGUUUAAUAACUAUUUGCAUGGCUCUAAAUGCUUAAUUAGAAGACGAAAUGAAUCGCAAGGGGAAACUAACAUGCGAGAGAGGAAGAGGAGGUAGCCACAACCAAAGAGCUUGGUUCAAUACUUCAAUGGCUAGAAUAAUGAACGAUAUGAAGAUCAGGUAGCAUUAUAUAUGUCAAUAAGAAGCAGAGGAGAGAAGCAGCCCGCAUCGCAGGAGACAAGGACUUCACUUGUUUGGCCAGUUCAGGACUUCAGGAUGUUGUCGAUGAUAUCCAUGCUAUAUUCCCUCGCUUCAUGCUUAACAAUGAGGGAGAGACUAAGUGAGGGGCUGAAGGCCGUUGGUGCUGUCAGAAUGUUUUUUUGGAGUUUUGGUGGAUGAUGCUCAGUGACUGCAAUGCAAAGGAUCCUUCUGUUUUGU